GACGAACGCUGGCGGCGUGCUUAACACAUGCAAGUCGAACGGAAAGGCCCUGCUUUUGUGGGGUGCUCGAGUGGCGAACGGGUGAGUAACACGUGAGUAACCUGCCCUUGACUUUGGGAUAACUUCAGGAAACUGGGGCUAAUACCGGAUAGGAGCUCCUGCUGCAUGGUGGGGGUUGGAAAGUUUCGGCGGUUGGGGAUGGACUCGCGGCUUAUCAGCUUGUUGGUGGGGUAGUGGCUUACCAAGGCUUUGACGGGUAGCCGGCCUGAGAGGGUGACCGGCCACAUUGGGACUGAGAUACGGCCCAGACUCCUACGGGAGGCAGCAGUGGGGAAUAUUGCACAAUAGGCGGAAGCCUGAUGCAGCAACGCCGCGUGGGGGAUGACGGCCUUCGGGUUGUAAACCGCUUUCGCCUGUGACGAAGCGUGAGUGACGGUAAUGGGUAAAGAAGCACCGGCUAACUACGUG
rnacentral:rRNA from 1 species